UUUAUACUUGUAAAAUAAAAUUAAAUUAUUAUUAUUAUUAUUUUAAAAAGGACCAAGCUGUUUGCUUUAUUUCAAUAACGAGUUGAUUUCACCGACAUCAAGCACUUUUUAAUUUUAUUGCUGACCUAUGCCUGACCCCCAGCUCCUCUGACAGUAUCAAAUUUCCUUAUAUCAAAUUUCCCUUUCUGCGUAUAAUGUAAUGUUUUAUUGUUGCUAUGGCCAUUGGCUAAUUCGAAUAAAGUUUUAUCUAUCUCUCCUCUGACAGUAGGGGAUGCAAGUUACUAUUCUCAGGCAAGACCUUACACCUGGGUGUGGCUUGAGCCUCAUCAAGUCUGAACCCCUUCAGCUUAAAGGGGCUGUGAGAUUUACUGCGGAACAGGCACUGCAUGUCAUCUUAGAAUUCAGUACCCCUGAUCAAGAAAAUAAAUUAAAUCCCAGAAUCUUUGCACUCGGGGUAGUGAUUCAGCAGGAGAAGGCAUUUAUGUGGCAAAUUGUACAGGCAGCUGCUGGAAACAUAGCUAAACACAAACAUGAAGACGAAAUAAAAU